UACAGAGGUCCCAAGCGUUGUUCGGAUUCACUGGGCGUAAAGGGUGCGUAGGCGGCCGGGUAAGUCUGAUGUGAAAUCUCACAGCUUAACUGUGAAACUGCAUCGGAUACUAUCCGGCUCGAGGAAUGGAGGGGAGACUGGAAUACUUGGUGUAGCAGUGAAAUGCGUAGAUAUCAAGUGGAACACCAGUGGCGAAGGCGAGUCUCUGGACAUUUCCUGACGCUGAGGCACGAAAGCCAGGGGAGCAAACGGG
rnacentral:rRNA from 1 species